rnacentral:rRNA from 1 species
GGGGAUGCGUUCCAUUAGGUAGUAGGCGGGGUAACGGCCCACCUAGCCUACGAUGGAUAGGGGUUCUGAGAGGAAGGUCCCCCACAUUGGAACUGAGACACGGUCCAAACUCCUACGGGAGGCAGCAGUGAGGAAUAUUGGUCAAUGGACGAGAGUCUGAACCAGCCAAGUAGCGUGAAGGAUGAAGGUCUUACGGAUUGUAAACUUCUUUUAUAAGGGAAUAAAACCUCCCACGUGUGGGAGCUUGUAUGUACCUUAUGAAUAAGCAUCGGCUAACUCCGUGCCAGCAGCCGCGGUAAUACGGAGGAUGCAAGCGUUAUCCGGAUUUAUUGGGUUUAAAGGGAGCGCAGACGGGUCGUUAAGUCAGCUGUGAAAGUUUGGGGCUCAACCUUAAAAUUGCAGUUGAUACUGGCGUCCUUGAGUGCGGUUGAGGUGUGCGGAAUUCGUGGUGUAGCGGUGAAAUGCUUAGAUAUCACGAAGAACUCCGAUUGCGAAGGCAGCACACUAAGCCGUAACUGACGUUCAUGCUCGAAAGUGUGGGUAUCAAACAGGAUUAGAUACCCUGGUAGUCCACACGGUAAACGAUGGAUACUCGCUGUUGGCGAUAUACGGUCAGCGGCUUAGCGAAAGCGUUAAGUAUCCCACCUGGGGAGUA